rnacentral:lncRNA from 1 species
CCAAGAGCCACCGACUUCUCUCUCAAAUAAGUUUUUCGAGCUCCUAAUAGUUCAAGGAGCAGUCAUGGUUAGGAACAAGUCGAAGACAGAAUCAGAGGUGUUUUGGCACUUCAAACUUCUUCGAGGAUUACUGCAACUUUACGGUAAUUCUUUGUCAUUUCUCUGUUUUUCUCUUUAAUAUUUUUAGAUUUGAUUUAUAAAGUGUCUAUCUUCAAAUGUAUUUUUGACGAUUUUCUUUUGAUCUUCAAUUUUUUUUCCUUCGGUAUAUAAAUUUGUCUAAAUAGAUUUAUAAAGUUUUGGUUUUAGAUUUAGUUCUAUGGAUUGAUGAAGAUUUGAUUUUUGUGUUGUCCAAAUUUGUGGAAAAUCGAAAUUAUGGCCAAAAUUGAGAUAAAGGCCUGCCAGAAAUCGCAAAACCCAGGUCAUUAGUGUCAGCAUGAACAUUUAGAGAACCAUUAAAAAGCCAAAAAAAACAAAAUAUAGGUCAUUUGUGCAGUGAGAAAUAUAUGGUAUUCUCAAAAAAAAAUUAGGAACAUUUGGGAAGAACAGUUGAAAAUACUUGGGGAGAAAAGUUAAGGGACAGAGUCGUCUGUGCAGUUAGAAAAUCUUUCAUGAUGUUGUUGUAUCAACAAGUUUACGAGUAGCAAUUACUUUGUAUUUUUUCACUUGAACAACUCUCAAGUUCAAAAUCCAAAAUUUAAGCCAACACAAUUUAGAAGUUUACAUAAAGGGAAGGAAAAAACACAGUAAAUUUUUAGUUAAUGAUUGUAAUUAACAUAGUCACUACAACAAAUUUCUAAACAAACCUAUACAUAAAAUGUGAAGUUGAAACAAAUUUAGAUUCAUUUCUUAAGUUUUCAUCCCUAUAUGUUUUCUCCUCGAUUUUCUUAUGAGCUUCAAAAACAAAAAAUGGGUUGAUGAAGUUUGAAUAUUGAAAGUUAAAUUACUGUCCAACAACGUGGUUCUUUUCUUUCCCUAAAAUUCUCCGAUCAGUGCUUAUAUGUUCCUCGCUAUUUCAAUCUUGUUCACUUUGUGUUCCCAUGGCCCAUGCUAUUGUUAUGUUUUACUCACCAAGUACAGCUAAUCUUUGGAAGUGUUAUGAAAUGCCUACUACCAUUUAGUAACCAAUGGUACAACAUAUGACAUUGUCCCUUCCAGCUUUUACCUACCAGCUCAGCCAUGCUCCAAAUUUCUUUGAUGCAGUUUGAAACUUCAGUAAUGGUAUAUGAGAGAAAUUGUUAUUAGUUUUUAGAUAUGGUGCCUCCUAAAACGAUCUACUAAAUUCAUCGAGUUGUUUCAAGGGAUCAAAAUGGUUAAUUAUUAAUGGGAUUCCUUCACUGCUCUUAGAUUCCAUUAUUUUAGUCUACUUUGUAACUCUUUUCCUCUUAUGAUUACUCAAAGAAAAUUAAGGACCAAUAUUUACCAUUUCCUUUUGUUUCUAUUGUUCGAGAAGCCUCAAGUUUGUUGUACUAAAUUUUUGUGGAUUGACAGAUUCUGGACUAUAAUAUGUGUUCUUAACUUAUAAUUGAUUAUGAAUUCUUUAUAAUUACCUCAAGGUCUUUGUUGAUUGUUUGUACAGAAAGAGUCCCCAAAGGAGAGUCCUCCUGAAUAGCCUCAAAGCCCUUGUGUAAGUCCCUCAAAUGAUUCUGUUUUGAUUCCUUAAACAGAUUCGAAAAGAUGUAACAAUUGGUUAGUUAUCAUUAAAAUGUUGUUUCAGCGUUAGUUUACCAAAAGCAGUUUAGAUAUUAAUUGGAAUGAUUGUUUAUUAGAUUCAACAUCAAAUGUUGUCGUUGUGUCGUUGCACGCCGUGAUCCAGCAACAUCAAUUGUCGCCAAAAAAGGUUUGUCUUACUCUUAACAUUCCAACAAUGCUUGCAAAUCUUCUGUGGACACUCAUGUCAUACAUUACUGCAACUGCUAUAUCGAACACCCUUAACACAUACUCUCCAUCAGAGUUUAAAGCACUUUAUGGUAGACUUUGCUAAUGAAACAAACGAAGGUUAAACCAUUCUGAUUGUUAUGACUGGCAAGAAUUAGUUGAUUCUUUCAGUGCACUUUGGUUCUUCUUAUAAGUUAUCAUUCAUUCUUCAACCAAACUCGGGCGUCUCUAUUAGAGUUGUUAAGCAAGUAUGAUUUAACACUUACUAUUAUAUGAUCAUGAAUUUAUUUUCUAUUUGUAUUUUCUUUAUGUUUUGUAUUGCAGAGGAGGAUUUAACAUUUCGUUUGUUAAUAAUUUUUGUCAUAUAUGAUGUGGUAGUUGAUGCAACAGAGAAUUCUCUAAACCGCUACAUGAUUAAUGACUGUUGCGUUAUGCUUGGAAAGGUUAAUUGUUUGUUUCUUUCUUUCUUUCUUUCUUUCUUUGGUAAGUUAGUUGUUUCUUAUGAUGUUCUCAUUUUAUACAAAUUUUGUUGGUAACAAACUAACAAUGAUAUUUUAUUGAAAGUUGGAUUCGUAAAUACUAUACACCAUACAACUACAUUUGGAUCCAAUAACUUUGGAUUCUCUAUUGAAGGAUCUUUCACAUUUUGUCUAAUUAUCAACUUUCUUAUAAAAUUACUUAUUGGUAUGAUCAUGUAAUUAUGAUAUGAAUAUUAUUGCAUUAUCGUACAGACAGCUCAUAUAGUACAAAUGUGAAAUUGGAUGAUAAGUUCAUUCAGAUGUUGGUCGAUUAAUCUGAUAACUGGUUAUUUGUAUUAAUAACAACCUCUUGUAUCUAGAGCUGAUCUAGGACUAAAAGGCCAGGUACCAUUUCCUGGCAGCAUUCAUUAUUUUGAGAGCUUUUGUGUUUCCCUAAACUUCGAAUUGAUUCGUAACUUUAGGCUCCGAAUGAUCACACGAUUGACUGACAACGUUAUAUGAAUAUGGAGUUUGUUAUCUAACAAUUUUUUUUUGAAAGAGCAGAUGACUUAAUACUAGGAAUACUGCAUGUACAAAUAGUUUGUGUGAAAAAAACAACACAUUUGCUUAGAUUGCAUCUCUUAAAUAUGUAGCCAUUCUCUGUGAAUAAACAUAGGUGGGUGGUUUCACUUUUGAAUGAUUAAUCUACAGUACGUUUGUGCUCAACUGCCUUAGCUUCUCUUUUCCCAGUUUGUUUACUUCUAAAAGAGCCUUCAUUUCUAAUGUGAUUUGUGCUUGAAAUUUUGACCUACAUAGAUACAGAAUCGAGGUGCAUAAUACCUAGGCGAGGCAGUUGUGAAAUGAGGAGACAUACAGAGUGCACGAUGAAGUUCGAACGAAGAAUGUGGCAUUUGAAAGCUUUAGUGAAUAUUGUUGAUCACCAUCACUAGAAGAAAAUUGGCCACGCUCUUAAUAUGAAUAUGUGAUCCAUAUAAAGCAAUUUUAUUUUAUUUUACAGCUUGAAUUAUGAGUAGUUAGUGAUCCAUAUAAAGCAAUUUUUUUUAUCAAGUUAUAAAAAUUUGAUAUAGGCAAGUAUUGGGCCCGUGCUUGCACGGGCUAACCAAAUCUAGUACAUAAAGAGUAGUUAGUAACUACAACAAAUAUGCUUUUUCGAAAUCAAGACUUCUCAA